CUCUGAAGACUCAACAGUGUGAUGUAAUGUGAACGUCGACGGUUGUUUUUCCAGAGG
ensembl:miRNA gmo-mir-11232 gmo-mir-11232